rnacentral:lncRNA from 1 species
CAGCAAUCAGGACGGCAAGCCAGCGGCCGGUAAGCGGGCGGCCCCUCCCGGGCGUCCCCGAGCCGUGGGAUGCCCACGUGCCUCUCUUGGUGUCUCUUGCAGGGGACGACGCGCAGUUCGAGAUGGACAUCUGACCGGGCGCCCGCCGCUCUCCUUCGCCAUUGCCCCGUUUAUUGGAACAGUGCCUGGAAAUGGAGGUGCUGCCUUCUGGGCUCCCAUCCUGGGCCUUCCCUGGGAAGUUUCAGCAGCCACGGCACUGGGAAGGUGCCGGCAUCUCCGUGCAGUGCAAACUCUUGGGUCCAGAUUAGACCCCUCUGGCACCUGGGCUCCCAAUUUCU